rnacentral:snRNA from 1 species
GGAUGUGAGGGCAAUCUGGCCGUGACAUCUGUCACCCCAUUGGUCACCAGGGUUGAUUUGGCUGAUCUUUCUGUGUAGGCAGGUGUCCCCUUCCUCCCUCACCACUCCAUGUGCAUCCCUUCCAAAGCUGUGUGCUUGGUUGAAGAUGACGACCAUCCCAAAAGACGAGGACUGUUCUUCCUUCGUAGGUAUACGAGUAGCUGCACUCCCCUGCUAGAACCGCCAAACAAGCUCUCAAAAUAACAAGAGCAAAAUGAACUGGAGGUGUGGCUCAAGCAGUAGAGCCCCUGCUUUGCAAGUGCAAAGCCCUGAG